UCCCAGCGCUCCUGCUCUGGGGACGGCCCUUGGCACGGCCGCAGUGCCCCGCUCAGGUCACUCCUGUCCCCUCACAGCCGGCUCUGCCCUUCGCACCGCCUGAACACUUAAUUUUCACCGCCCCCUUGCCAGAUCCACGACAAACACCCUCAAGCCCUCCACACUACGGCUCCCAGCCGGGCUGAUCCUUGCACCCUCAUCCCACCGGUACCUAUUUUGGCCUCCUCCUUUCUGGUCACACCUCCACAUGUAGCUCACAGGCUAACCCUAAAAAGCCUCCCUGUUCCCUGCACCAUACACACACUUUUUAAAAAUCUUUUCCCUCCCAUCGUUGCCUGCCUACAACUCUCACUCCAAAUUGCCCCCAGAGCGCAGCUCACACAUAAUGGACUUUAUUCUUCCCCAAAUCCUCGAGGCAAUCAGUCACACGCCAUCCACUGCUGCCUUCCUAAAUCGGAAAAGACAGAAACCACAAAAUUAUCAGCUUUGUACAAUCGCUUGUUUCUCUGCAUGGCAACAGCAGCAAUCAGCAAGCUGGGAGGAAGGUGUGCUGCAAGUAACUGUGAUUUGCAUUCCCUGCAGCCCAGGAGAGGUGUCCGGGUAAUCAGCCCCAUGUAGUGACACUUCUUGACGUACUGAGACUGCUUGAUCUGGCUCUCACCUACAGGUGAUGUGCAGAGCACAGCCCCAACAGCCUCAGGAUCUGACCCUGUACAGCCUUCACCCCAGUGACAGGGCCUCAGGCCAGGCCUCAACUUGCUCCUGUGAUGCAGGAUGAAAGCCAGUAAAAAAAUUACAGCUACCCAUGUGAACAGCAAUACUUCAGUAAGUCUGUGAGACAAGUGCCAAGUGAAGCAGAGAAGCAAGUACAACAGAAAGAACGUUUCCCUCUGGCAGUCUCUGUCUUUAAUUCCAAAAUAACAGUAGUGCAGUCAAGGUUUAACAAAAUGGUUGAGCUAAUCCCUGCUGUCCACAGGUGACUGUUCACCUGCUCCAUCACAGGUCCUUGUUUGACACCUUGUUGAGCUAUUUCAGCUCACCAAAGCAGCAGGAAAGAUUCAGCUCUUUAGGAGAGCAUGACUGGGAAGCAGCAGUUUGGUGCAGUGAACGCUGAGCAUGGUUUCCUCUCGUACCUAUGCUACUGUCACAGCACCUACUGAAAAGAGCAGCCCCACUUCACCUCCCUUCCAGCUGUGCCUUCCUGUCUCCUUCUUUGUACAGCAUUCCUGCUUUUGGAGGGUGACCUUUCUGCAACUUAGCUUUCUGAACUGGGUCACUGCUGGACCACACAAGAGACACUCCUGCAUCGGGAAAGGAGGAGGAACUCCCAGCCUGGAAGAAGAAGGAGGAUAAGAUCAGGAUGGCUCCCCUUCUGCCCAGACUGCCAUUAGCUCAGCCUUAGCUGCAAAGCGAAGCCACACACUGACCCCAGCAGCACUCGAGAACUAAGUGCAUUAGCCCACUUCCUUCAAGGGAAAUCCUGAAGUUCAUGGGGUAAACUCAAGGCAGGGUAAGGUCUGUGCCAGUUAAUUCUUGCUAAGGACAAGAGUUAAGAACAAUCACAACAAAUGAUGUUUUUUGUGCUGUUUUCAAGCUACAUUCCGAGCUCUGUUAAAGCCAGAAUUUGCCUGUGGUAUUGGUAGGUAGAAAUGCUUGUUACUGUGACUGCAGAAAUGUGACACUAUAAACAGUACCAUUUGCAAGUAAAGAAAAUGGAAAAUCUGAACCCAAGAAGGAUCUUCUGAUUCCAUCUGACCUCAGCCCUUCUACUUGGCUUAAAAACUUGCACUAUAAAUUAUUACUCCCUUUACUACUCAAUAUACAAGUAUUGUAAGCCAUCCUCAUGCCGGAAAGCACACUUUUAAAGAAAUACCUCUACUCUGAAGAAAGAUCAAACCACAGCGUAUGACCAGAAAAAAAAACCCCAAACCAGCCUGCAAACCUGUCCCCCAGGGCUGAAAAAGGUGAGAAGUCAUUUAUUUGCCCAAAACAAACCACUUAAGCCAAUAAAAUUUACAA